UUUCCCUCAGGAUAGCUGGCACUCGCUUGAGCGAGUCUCAUCUGGUAAAGCGAAUGAUUAGAGGCCUUGGGGCCGAAACGACCUCAACCUAUUCUCAAACUUUAAAUGGGUGAGAUCUCUGGCUUGCUUGAACACAAUUUAUGAAGCCACGAGAGAUUAUCGAAAUGGAUCAGAGUGCCAAGUGGGCCAAUUUUGGUAAGCAGAACUGGCGCUGUGGGA
rnacentral:rRNA from 1 species